rnacentral:rRNA from 1 species
CUAAAAGGAGAAGUGAAUUGUGCUAAACUGAUGGAACUUUUGUCUGCUACUUUCUGCAAGACUAAACAUUGGCCUUGGAAAAUCAGAGGGCUCUCCAGCAAGACCUUUCCGGUCAGAUUCCCUCCAUGGAAGAAUUUGGAAGACCUCAUUGAACUGCCUGGUUUUUCCUUACCACAGGAUGUCAAUGUAACAUUAACUGAAUGGAAGGGUGGAUGUGAACCUUUUGGAGAGCUAAUUGAAGCCUGGGUACUGAUUGAGGGGAUUCCCCCAAAGUGGUGCACUUGGAAAGUGUUUGCCCAAAUUGCUUCCCUAUUUGGGGUACUUACAGAUGUGGAUUGGAAUGGAAUGUUCAGAACCUUUUUUGAGAAUGUCAGAAUCAAAAUAGCCUGCAGAGAUCCAACCAAGAUUCCUUUUGAGAGACUGAUUGAGAUGAAGAAGAAAAUUUUUCUACUUGGUUUCACUGUUGAGGGCUUUGAACAAGCAGGUGGGGUUGACUCUGUCAUUGAUGUAGAUGAAGAUGAAGAUGGUAAUGAGGAGGAUGAGAGAGCUGAGGAAGAAAAUGUUGGAAAAGAUAAUAUGGAUCUCAUGGAGAACAUGCUGCUGAUGGGUCAUAUGGAGGUGAUUUGGCCAUUGAUGAAUUAG